GCCUGGGUGGCUCAGUCGGUGAGUGUCUGACUUUGACUCAGGUCAUGAUCUCAUGGUUCGUGGCUUCAAGCUUCACAUCAGGCU
rnacentral:tRNA from 1 species